rnacentral:rRNA from 1 species
AUUGAACGCUGGCGGCAUGCUUUACACAUGCAAGUCGAACGGUAACAGGCCGCAAGGUGCUGACGAGCGGCGAACGGGUGCGUAAUGCAACGGAAUGUGUCACGCCGCGGGGGAUCACUAAUAGCAAGAGUAAACCAUACCGCAUACGAUCUAAGGUUGAAAGCGGGGGAGCGUAAGGCUUAGAGAGAUUGGAGCGGUCGCUGUCAGAUUAGGUAGUUGGUGGGGUAAAGGCUUACCAAGCCAACGAUUUGUAGCUGGUCUGAGAGGACGAGCAGCCACACUGGAACUGAGACACGGCCCAGACUCCUACGGGAGGCAGCAGUGGGGAAUUUUGGACAAUGGGCGAAAGCCUGAUCCAGCAAUGCCGCGUGCGGGAAGAAGGCCUUCGGAUUGUAAAAUGCUGUUGUACGGAACGAAACGGCGCGGGUUAAUACCCGGGGCUAAUGACGGUACCGUAAGAGUAAGCACCGGCUAACUACGUG